GCAUGGAAGAAUUCUGCAUUGGCUUUUGACGUAGCCAGAGCAGUCAGACACCAUGCAACAGUGAACUUCACUCUUGCUUCUGAACAUGUAGUGUCAUAAUACUGUUGAUAUCUGCAUAAACAGAGUGAAUACAGUU